AGGUGAAGUCACUCGACCUGGGG
rnacentral:siRNA from 1 species